GCGGGUGUAGCUCAGUUGGUUAGAGUGCCGGCCUGUCACGCCGGAGGUCGCGGGUUCGAGCCCCGUCAACCGCGCCA
rnacentral:tRNA from 1 species